rnacentral:rRNA from 1 species
AUUGAACGCUGGCGGCAUGCCUUACACAUGCAAGUCGAACGGUAACGGGCCUUCGGGUGCCGACGAGUGGCGAACGGGUGAGUAAUGUAUCGGAACGUACCUUUCAGUGGGGGAUAACGUAGCGAAAGUUACGCUAAUACCGCAUAUUCUGUGAGCAGGAAAGCAGGGGAUCGCAAGACCUUGCGCUGAUUGAGCGGCCGAUAUCAGAUUAGCUGGUUGGUGAGGUAAAGGCUCACCAAGGCGACGAUCUGUAGCGGGUCUGAGAGGAUGAUCCGCCACACUGGAACUGAGACACGGUCCAGACUCCUACGGGAGGCAGCAGUGGGGAAUUUUGGACAAUGGGGGCAACCCUGAUCCAGCCAUGCCGCGUGAGUGAAGAAGGCCUUCGGGUUGUAAAGCUCUUUCGGCCGGGAAGAAAUCGUAUCAGCUAAUACCUGGUGCGGAUGACGGUACCAGCAUAAGAAGCACCGGCUAACUACGUGCCAGCCGCCGCGGUAAUAC